rnacentral:ncRNA from 1 species
UUUUGGUUGGUACAUUACGUAUCAUUAAAAGGGAAUUUUGUGAAAUACAAAAGCUGUUCCCGCAACUGUAAGUCAUCCAUUUUUUUGGAUCGUGUUUUCUUAAACCACUGUUUACAAUCGUAAAUGGGAAGGUGACACAAAGACAAGCCAGGAGACCUGCCAUAUUCAUC